UGAAAUGCUGAGGCUAAGCAACUUCUCCGAGUUACUUGUUAAUAAUCUACAAAUGAUAAUUAAUUGACAACUGCUGGCAGCUCUCUGGGAAAAGGAUAUUAUUUAGGAUGAGAACCAAAGAUGAGAAAUCCCAAAGGUUAAAUGAAAUGGUUUCUUUUCAAGUCCUGCGCAUUCAACUAAUGUGUGUGGAAGGACACACCCUCUUGUUCCUGCCAUGCUCUUGCUGGCUGACCUCUGUAUUUAGAGCGAGAAGGCCCCAGAUCCCUUUCCCAACUGGAGAAGGUGAUGGCUUCACUCUGCAAGGGCUGGUGGUGAAAAGAAGUGAGGAAAUUAUUCCAAAGCACCCAGGUGAGGAU